GUCCGCUGAACUUAAGCAUAUCAAUAAGCGGAGGAAAAGAAACCAACAGGGAUUGCCCUAGUAACGGCGAGUGAAGCGGCAACAGCUCAAAUUUGAAAGCUGGCUCUCGGGCCCGCAUUGUAAUUUGCAGAGGAUGCUUCUGGCGACGCGCCUUCCGAGUUCCCUGGAACGGGACGCCAUAGAGGGUGAGAGCCCCGUCCGGUCGUGCGCCUAGCCUCUGUGAAGCUCCUUCGACGAGUCGAGUAGUUUGGGAAUGCUGCUCAAAAUGGGAGGUAUACGUCUUCUAAAGCUAAAUACCGGCCAGAGACCGAUAGCGCACAAGUAGAGUGAUCGAAAGAUGAAAAGCACUUUGAAAAGAGAGUUAAAAAGUACGUGAAAUUGUUGAAAGGGAAGCGCUCAUGACCAGACUUGGGCUGGCCCGAUCAUCCGGCGUUCUCGCCGGUGCACUCGGGCCGCCCAGGCCAGCAUCAGCUUUCGCCGGGGGAUAAAGGCGGCGGGAAUGUGGCUCCCUCGGGAGUGUUAUAGCCCGCCGUGCAAUACCCUGGUGGGGGCUGAGGUUCGCGCGUAUGCACGGAUGCUGGCGUAAUGGUUAUCAGCGACCCGUCUUGAAACACGGACCAAGGAGUCGUCUUCGUAUGCGAGUGUUCGGGUGUCAAACCCCUACGCGGAAUGAAAGUGAACGCUGGUGAGAGCUUCGGCGCAUCACCGACCGAUCCUGAUGUUCUCGGACGGAUUUGAGUAAGAGCAUACGGGGCCGGACCCGAAAGAAGGUGAACUAUGCCUGUAUAGGGUGAAGCCAGAGGAAACUCUGGUGGAGGCUCGCAGCGGUUCUGACGUGCAAAUCGAUCGUCAAAUAUGGGCAUGGGGGCGAAAGACUAAUCGAACUCUUUAGGG
rnacentral:rRNA from 1 species